UGAAUGGGGCAACCCGAUCCAUUGGAUCUUAAGCAUACCCGGUGAACUGAAACAUCUAAGUAACCGGAGGAAAAGAAAACAAUAGUGAUUUCCAUAGUAGCGGCGAGCGAACUGGAAAAAGCCCAAACUGUAGUUGUUUUUGCAAUUACAGGGUUGUAGGACUUUUAUAAUUUUGAUUAAUCUUAGUAGAAUGCAUUGGAAAAUGUAACCAUAGAGGGUGAUAGUCCCGUAGAUAAAAAGAUUAUGAGAAAGAAAAGUAUCCUGAGUACCACGGAACAUGUGUAAUUUUGUGGGAAUCUGCCAGAACCAUCUGGUAAGGCUAAAUAUAAAUAGAAAACCGGAU
rnacentral:rRNA from 1 species